UGCAACCUACAAGUUUCCCAAAAGUG
rnacentral:piRNA from 1 species